rnacentral:rRNA from 1 species
AUGGCUCAGGAUGAACGCUGGCGGCGUGCUUAACACAUGCAAGUCGAACGAAGCACCUCUAAUCGAAGAUUGAGAAAGCUUGCUUUGAUUGAUUCACCUUGAGGUGACUGAGUGGCGGACGGGUGAGUAACGCGUGGGUAACCUACCCUAUACAGGGGGAUAACAGUUGGAAACGACUGCUAAUACCGCAUAAGCGCACAGGACCGCAUGGUCUAGUGUGAAAAACUCCGGUGGUAUAGGAUGGACCCGCGUCUGAUUAGCUAGUUGGUGAGGUAACGGCUCACCAAGGCGACGAUCAGUAGCCGACCUGAGAGGGUGACCGGCCACAUUGGGACUGAGACACGGCCCAAACUCCUACGGGAGGCAGCAGUGGGGAAUAUUGCACAAUGGGCGAAAGCCUGAAUGCAGCGACGCCGCGUGAACGAAGAAGUAUUUCGGUAUGUAAAGUUCUAUCAGCAGGGAAGAAAAAUGACGGUACCUGACUAAGAAGCUCCGGCUAAAUACGUGCCAGCCGCCGC